rnacentral:rRNA from 1 species
GACGAACGCUAGCGGCGUGCCUAAGGUAUGCAAGUCGAGCGGACCCGCAAGGGUUAGCGGCGAACGGUCGAGUAACACGUAGACAACCUGCCCUUCAGUGGGGGACAACGGGCCGAAAGGCCCGCUAAUACCGCAUAAGCCGCGCCUUGGCAUCAAGGCAGCGGGAAACGCGCAAGUGGCUGAAGGAUGGGUCUGCGGCCUAUCAGCUUGUUGGUGGGGUUACGGCCCACCAAGGCGACGACGGGUAGCUGGUCUGAGAGGAUGACCAGCCGGACGGGGACUGAGACACGGCCCCGACUCCUUCGGGAGGCAGCAAUGAGGGAUCUUGCGCAAUGGGCGAAAGCCUGACGCAGCGACGCCGCGUGGGUGAAGAAGUCCCUCGGGAUGUAAAGCCCUUUUUCCGGGGACGAGAACGGACGGUACCCGGAGAAUAAGCCCCGGCUAACUACGUGCCAGCAGCCGCGGUAAUACGUAGGGGGCAAGCGUUGUCCGGAUUCACUGGGCGUAAAGCGCGUGUAGGCGGAUCGCUAAGCCUGGCCUGAAAGCCCCCGGCUCAACCGGGGAGGGUGGCUGGGAACUGGCGAUCUUGAGGGCGGAAGGGGGGGGCGGAAUUCCUGGUGUAGCGGUGAAAUGCGUAGAUAUCAGGAGGAACACCCAUGGCGAAGGCAGCCCCCUGGUCCGGCCCUGACGCUGAGACGCGAAAGCGCGGGGAGCGAACGGGAUUAGAUACCCCGGUAGUCCGCGCCGUAAACGAUGAUCACUAGGCGUGUGAGGUGUCGACCCCUCACGUGCCGCAGCUAACGCGAUAAGUGAUCCGCCUGGGGAGUACGGCCGCAAGGUUGAAACUCAAAGGAAUUGACGGGGGCCCGCACAAGCGGUGGAGCAUGUGGAUUAAUACGUCACUAACCGUAGAACCUUACCCAGGCUUGACAUCUCCGGAAAGCGCCUGAAAGGGUGCCGUGCCCGCAAGGGAGCCGGAAGACAGGUGUUGCAUGGCUGUCGUCAGCUCGUGUCGUGAGAUGUUGGGUUAAGUCCCGCAACGAGCGCAACCCUCACCGUAUGUUGCCAGCGCGAAAGGCGGGGACUCUUACGGAACUGCCCGGGCAACCGGGAGGAAGGUGGGGACGACGUCAAGUCAGCAUGGCCCUUACGCCUGGGGCUUCACACAUGCUACAAUGGCCGGUACAGAGGGUCCCGAGGCCGCGAGGCGGAGGCAAUCCCACAAAACCGGUCCAAGUUCGGAUCGCAGGCUGCAACUCGCCUGCGUGAAGCCGGAAUCGCUAGUAACCGCCGGUCAGCUAAACGGCGGUGAAUACGUUCCCGGGCCUUGUACACACCGCCCGUCACGUCACCUGAGUCUGCUGCACCCGAAGCCGCUGGCCCAACCGCAAGGAGGGAGGCGUCGAAGGUGUGGCCGGUAAGGGGGACG